AAGGGGCAACGCGUUAUCGGUGCCCACGGGCGUUUCUCGCCCAGGGUUAAACGGGAAACAGGUGCGCGGCCCCUCGCAAAAGAGGCCGCAAUGCCUGUGCUGCCCCCGCAACGGUAAGUGCGCGCAAGGUGGGUCAUGCAGCCACUGGGUCCUCGACCCGGGAAGGCGAUCCAUCCGUCCGGCUCUGCCGGCACAGCGCACGAGCCCGGAGACCGGCCGGAGCGCGAAAUGGCGG
rnacentral:ncRNA from 2 species